UAAUUAUUGUUCAUUUAUCAUUAUCGAGGUAAAAUGUACUAUCAAUUGUGAUUUUGAUUUUAGGUCAUAUUGUGCAGCUUUCUAAUGUCAUCUGUCAUCCAGUAU